rnacentral:rRNA from 1 species
UACGGGAGGCAGCAGUGGGGAAUAUUGCACAAUGGGCGAAAGCCUGAUGCAGCUAUGCCGCGUGUAUGAAGAAGGCCUUAGGGUUGUAAAGUACUUUCAUCGGGGAGGAAAAAACAAAACUAAUAAUUUUAUUUCUUGACGUUACCCGAAAAAGAAGCACCGGCUAACUCCGUGCCAGCAGCCGCGGUAAUACGGAGGGUGCUAGCGUUAAUCAGAAUUACUGGGCGUAAAGAGCACGUAGGUGGUUUUUUUAAAGUCAGAUGUGAAAUCCCUGGGCUUUAACCUAGGAACUGCAUUUUGAAACUGAAAUACUAGAGUAUCGUAGAGGGAGGUAGAAUUCUAGGUGUAGCGGUGAAAUGCGUAGAUAUCUGGAGGAAUACCUGUGGCGAAAGCGGCCUCCUAAACGAAUACUGACACUGAGGUGCGAAAGCGUGGGGAGCAAACAGGGAUUACGAUACC